CGCGAAAAGCUGCCUACGAGGAGGGCGGGGCAGCGGCAGCACUGGUAGGCCCAAACCAACAACAUGGUGACCCGGGGGCGCUACAGACGCCUCGUCUGAGGGGGUGUCAAGGGGGCCUAGCCUCUCUCAACUACCUCAGGUCGCCAUCGGCGCGCUCGCCAUGGCCCGGCACAGGAACGUGCGUGGCUAUAACUACGACGAAGACUUUGAAGAAGAUGAUCUUUAUGGACAGUCUGUAGAGGAUGAUUUUUGCAUUUCACCUUCAACAGCUGCUCAAUUCAUUUACUCAAGACGUGAUAAUCCUACUGCAUAUGCCGAGACAUUAGAAGAAAAAUAUGAUUAUGAAACAGAACAUAGCAAUGAUUGUAUUCCAAGUCACCAGCUAACAGGUGCUGAAAAAGCUAAGCUUGAUUUGUGCCUUGAUCACAUGAGAGAAGUGCUUGGAAAGUCUGUGCCUGAGAAAGUGAUGGUGGAAGCAGUAUUGAGCAGUAAAUUUGAUGUACAACAAGCUUUGGAUUCUGUUCUUGCCCAAGACAAUAAGCAAAAUAAGAUAAAGAACGAGGAUGCCGUAAUUGCAGGGAAGGCAACAAAAGGAAAAGUCAGAGAUUCCCAGACAAGCAGAAUUGAAUCUGAUGUCGUGCCAAAAGUUACCAAAAUGACUGUGUCUGGAAAGAGACAAACUACCGGCUUUGAAGUUCCAUGUGUGAAUGCUGAAGAGAAUGGGCAUAUGCCACAAAAGGGACUCUCAGCUGGAGAUGCCAACGUGGGGGUUACUGAGAUUCUUCCUAAACCAGCUUUUCCACCCCAGACUGUUCAAGUAUCAGAAGAACCAACCUUGACACCAACUUCAGUGAAAAAGUCCGGAAAAGCAAAACAGCAAAUAGAUGUGAAAGCUGAGCUGGAGAAGAGACAAGGAGGAAAACAUCUACUUAACCUUGUGGUAAUAGGACAUGUUGAUGCAGGAAAAAGUACCCUCAUGGGUCAUUUGCUGUAUCUUCUGGGCAAUGUGAACAAACGAACUAUGCACAAAUAUGAGCAAGAAUCAAAGAAAGCUGGAAAGGCAUCAUUUGCUUAUGCAUGGGUCUUGGAUGAGACAGGGGAAGAGAGAGAGAGGGGAGUGACAAUGGAUGUAGGUAUGACCAAAUUUGAGACAAAGACAAAAGUUAUUACAUUGAUGGAUGCUCCUGGCCAUAAAGACUUCAUUCCAAAUAUGAUCACAGGAGCUGCAAUGGCUGAUGUGGCUAUAUUAGUGGUGGAUGCCAGCAGAGGGGAGUUUGAAGCAGGAUUUGAGACUGGUGGGCAAACACGAGAACAUGGACUGUUGGUUCGAUCUCUUGGAGUCACACAGCUGGCAGUUGCUGUCAAUAAAAUGGACCAGGUCAAUUGGCAACAGGAAAGAUUUCAGGAGAUUGUCAGUAAGCUUGGGCAGUUCCUGAAGCAAGCUGGCUUUAAGGAGUCGGACGUAGCUUAUAUACCUACAAGUGGGCUUGGUGGUGAAAAUCUUGUCACAAGAAGUCAAGCGAGUGAGCUGACCAAAUGGUAUGAAGGAAAAUGCUUGUUAGAACAAAUAGAUUCUUUCAAGCCACCUCAGAGAUCUGUGGAGAAACCAUUCAGAUUAUGUGUAUCGGAUGUUUUUAAAGAUCAAGGAUCGGGAUUUUGUGUGACUGGUAAAAUUGAAGCAGGAUAUGUUCAAGUUGGAGAUCGGCUGCUAGCGAUGCCUCCGAAUGAAACUUGCACUGUAAAAGGAAUUGCCCUACAUGAUGAACCAGUGGAUUGGGCUGCAGCAGGAGAUCACGUUAUUCUCACUUUGACUGGCAUGGAUAUCAUCAAAAUCAAUGUUGCGUGCAUAUUUUGUUGCCCCAAGGAACCUAUUAAAGCUUGCACACGUUUCAGAGCUCGGAUCCUCAUCUUCAAUAUUGAAGUUCCUAUCACCAAAGGAUUCCCUGUGCUUUUACAUUUUCAAACUGUAAGCGAGCCUGCCACUAUUAGGAGGUUACUGAGUGUGCUUCACAAGAGUACAGGUGAAGUCACAAAGAAAAAAGCCUAAGUGUUUGACUAAAGGACAGAAUGCUUUAGUAGAACUGCAAACGCAAAGGCCUGUUGCUCUGGAACUUUAUAAAGACUUCAAAGAACUUGGAAGGUUCAUGUUGCGGUACAGUGGCUCCACCAUAGCUGCAGGAGUUGUGACGGAGAUAAAAGAAUGAUGACUGUGCCAGAACUUCUGCAACCCAACCAAAUGAAAUCAUAUGUCCAAAUAUGUUUAUUUGAUGAAUCCAGUCAUAUCAGUGGAAGGAGCAAAGGCAAUUACCUUUCUAAGAGGAGGAGAUGAAAUACCAGGUGUUCUUCAAACAUUUUGAAGCUGUCCUUGCUUCAAAAUAGUAUGCCAAUAGGGAAAUACACGUUGCACUUUCUUACUGCACAAGUUCCACUCUAUUUCCCAUUUAAACCAUCAUUGGUAACUCUAGAGGACCUUUAUGAAAAGUUUAUCAGAAAGAUGUGUUAAAGGACAAUGAUUCAUCGUGGGGGGAAAGCAUGUUACUUCCAGCCUUAAACAUUGUUUACAAUUUAUUUUUGGGUGGGGGGCACUGCUUACCUGCUGCACAUUAUUUCAUAAAUUAAUUCAAUUGGGCUAUAGCGUUCCAGAUUUUAUACAAAUACAUUUUCAAAGAACCCUGUUUCCUUCUGUUUCAGAAACCAUUAUUAACCAUUAAUUUCUUUCUGUUCCAGAUUAAUUUAAAACUUAUUUGUGUAGCCCUAGUUAGUCCAAUAAUGGCUAUUUUUAUUUUUUAGAUUGUAGAAGAAUAAAGUAGCUUGGCCUGAGCAUAA